GAAGUUGGGUGCGCGCUGGCGAAGUUGUCCUGUGCGAGUGCGAGGCUUGGUACUUAAUUCGUUUCAGGGGCCUGCAGGACACUGAGGGCGAGAUUUCUAGGAGACAGAUGUGGGUCUGAAGCAUGGAGGGAAGUCAGAGGGGGAGAGAUGACCUUGAUACAGUCAAGCACAGAGUUGGUCAUGGGGUACCACGAGCACCAGCACAGUGCCUCCCACGGAGCACGGACUCAGAAACGUUUGUUGUUGCCUGUGAGAGUCCUGUCACUCACUGGUGGCUUCAUAGAGGUGAUGACGUUUGAGGCACCUGCAGGGAGAGGGCCGCAGCUGCGUGAGGGUCUUACAGUUGGCUGGACGUGCCACGAUCCUCCUCAGUCCCCCUGGUGUGUCCCUGAUCCGGGCGAUUCAGGCAAGGCCACAGCCUGUGAUGGCAGACCAACUCGGAUUCCAAGUCCGGCUUUUCCACUUACUGGCUGUGUGACCUCAGGCAAGUGGCUUAGCGUCUCUGAGCUGCGGCUUCUUCAUCUGUACGGCGUGCAUACCAAUCCUUCUCUCACAGGGCUGUCAUGAAGAUUCAGCGAGGCAGUGUUUACAGCUAGAAUUUUCUUCCCACCUCGUUCUGGAGGGGUUUCUGGCACUGGCUGUGAACCUCUGCUGUCUCUUUUGUUUUGAGGGGCUUCCUUCUCGCCUACGCCUGGAACUUGAAUUGCGGAUCCUCUGCCGCUCGCGUCCGGUUCUCUGCGGGUUACGGGGCCCCACUUGCCCUCUCUCUCUCCCAAACCCGAAGACGCAAGUGAAGGGAAGCGAGUCCAGACCGCAGAGUCCACCUGGGAGAGGAGGGCCGUGGGGUCGGUGUGGCCGUGGCCGACUCCCUGGGACGGUUGGGAGAGGCGGCUGCAGGUGGCUUGGGGGGCAGACUGCAGAGGCUGUGAAGCUCCCCCCCGCCCCCUGUCCAGCACCCGCCGGAGUCCCUCCCGGGCUCCGUGUGUCUGUGUGGGAGACUCUGGGAGGGGCCCAUUAGCCGUGACGGAAAGAGCACUGAGUUAUUAAUGCUGUUUGCAGUUGUGAGCUCCACUAGGACCAUAAUCGUGUGCGUCGUAAUAAUGUGUGUAAUGAGAGCUCUAGCAAUGAAUUAAUAGGUCAGUGGUGAUUUGGGUGACCAUGCUUCAGUGAGCGACAGCGCGAUUCUGUGUUAGCAGACCGGACUCGGCCUGGCAUCGAGUCGGCUGUGUGAGGGCAGGAGAGGGUCCCGGCCCAAGAGGCGGCCCUGGAGUGGGGAGCCCUGGAUGCGUGUCUCCGCUCAGUAUCUUCAGGGCCGUGUGGUUUGGUGCCGUCAUGUGGCCUCUCUGAGCCUCAGCUUUCUCGUCUAUAAACUGGAGAUGAUAAUUAUCGAGUCCUCCAGAGCUGUGAGGAUGAAGUGAGAUAAUACACCCGAGGGAGGCGACACCUGUCUCUGGCUCCCUCUCCCCAGCUGUGUGGGGCGUGCUUCGGCUUCCAGCCAUGCCACGCGUGCCCCUGCUGGACGCCCUUCGCCCUGGCCGUUCCCUCGGCUGUGGCUCGCUCUCUUCCCAGGUGUUCGAACGGCUGGCUCGCCUCUCUUUCCGGCAGGUCUCUGCUCAAAUGUCGCCUCCUCAGCGAGGCCUUUGCUGAUGCCCUCACCUGAAACAGCACCCUCCCCGCCCCGUGUCUGCUUUAUUUUUAUUCGCAGGUCCUGACAUUUUAUAUAUGUAGCGGUUUAUUCCGUUAUCAUCUGUCUCUUCCUCUAGACUCGCAGUGUCACAAGCACGGGGACCGUUUUUGUUCAGUGUGGACUCGCCAGUGUCCCGAAUAGCACCAGCUUACAGGAGGCACGCGGGAAGUGUUGAAUGCGUAAACGAAGGAAUAGUCGCUGUGACGGGUACGGGGUACGGUGCGCUCGGUAAGUGGCAAGCGGGUUCAAACUGUGUGAGCAAAUGAACAGGCACCGACGUAGCAGAGAAACUUUGUGGCGGAGCUUCCCUCUCCAAGGGCUGCCUUAUCAUAGGAAAUGUCCGAGC